rnacentral:rRNA from 1 species
UUGGAAACGAAUGCUAAUACCGCAUAAAAACUUUAAACACAAGUUUUAAGUUUGAAAGAUGCAAUUGCAUCACUCAAAGAUGAUCCCGCGUUGUAUUAGCUAGUUGGUGAGGUAAAGGCUCACCAAGGCGAUGAUACAUAGCCGACCUGAGAGGGUGAUCGGCCACAUUGGGACUGAGACACGGCCCAAACUCCUACGGGAGGCAGCAGUAGGGAAUCUUCGGCAAUGGACGAAAGUCUGACCGAGCAACGCCGCGUGAGUGAAGAAGGUUUUCGGAUCGUAAAACUCUGUUGGUAGAGAAGAACGUUGGUGAGAGUGGAAAGCUCAUCAAGUGACGGUAACUACCCAGAAAGGGACGGCUAACUACGUGCCAGCAGCCGCGGUAAUACGUAGGUCCCGAGCGUUGUCCGGAUUUAUUGGGCGUAAAGCGAGCGCAGGUGGUUUAUUAAGUCUGGUGUAAAAGGCAGUGGCUCAACCAUUGUAUGCAUUGGAAACUGGUAGACUUGAGUGCAGGAGAGGAGAGUGGAAUUCCAUGUGUAGCGGUGAAAUGCGUAGAUAUAUGGAGGAACACCGGUGGCGAAAGCGGCUCUCUGGCCUGUAACUGACACUGAGGCUCGAAAGCGUGGGGAGCAAACAGGAUUAGAUACCCCGGUAGUCCACGCCGUAAACGAUGAGUGCUAGAUGGAGGGAGCUAUAAGUUCUCUGUAUCGCAGCUAACGCAAUAAGCACUCCGCCUGGGGAGUACGACCGCAAGGUUGAAACUCAAAGGAAUUGACGGGGGCCCGCACAAGCGGUGGAGCAUGUGGUUUAAUUCGAAGCAACGCGAAGAACCUUACCAGGUCUUGACAUACUCGUGCUAUUCCUAGAGAUAGGAAGUUCCUUCGGGACACGGGAUACAGGUGGUGCAUGGUUGUCGUCAGCUCGUGUCGUGAGAU